AAACGAGACAGCAGGGGCCUCAAAGCCUCCCACCCUGUCCAGGUUCGCCCUCCCGCCACCCGUCAGGACCCAAGAGAAAUGUGUGUCUCCCCCGCCCCCACCCCACCUUGUUCCACAAACCAAAAGGAAGCCUACAGAACAAGGCCUCAUCCAGGCUUAAGACUCGAACACGGGUCUCCCGGUUUUUCCGAGGAAAACUUCUGUCUUCCGUGGCCUCUCACCGCCGAGCAGCUGUGUGGCUAGGUCAGAUCAUGGGGCUGGGGGUGGGGCGUGGGGGCAUGAAAUGCAGGAUUGGAACUUGGAUUCCUUGUAUGUGACAGCGGUAGGGCCCCUGGGGGCCUGAGCCCCCUGUCAGAGAGUGGGGGUGGGGGCAAGAGCGGCCUUCAGAGGGAAACCGAGGAAGGACGUGAGCGAAGGCGGGAGAGGAAGGCAGGACACAGGCUUCACAGGAGAUCGGGGUGGGCAGAGAGACCCGGAGGGCCUGGCAGGGUGGUGUGUGACAGGGGUGAAGAGGCAGGCACGUGAGGGCGAAGCGGGAGAAGUGAUCUUCACGUUCACCCCACAGACUCGGUUUGGAAGGGCAGAAUCUGUUGUCCCGGGUGUAGACACAGAGCCCAGAAAGGUCCCCACGGCCGCCCCCCCGCCCCCACCUCUCCGGGGUCCUCUGCAGUCCUCAUUUGCACCUUCCAUUGGGUCUCCGAGGCAACCUCCUGAUUUGGGGGGCGGCCUUCCACGAUUGAGCCCUUACCCGGUGUCAGACGCUGUUACCUGACCUUAUUUAACCCCCUCGGCCACCCUGUGCCAUUCUGCCCAUUUUACAGGUGAAGCAACUAAGACUCAAGAGUUACGCGCCUUUUCUUUAUUGCGGGGGGUGGGGGACGUUUGAGGCUCCCAGCUGAACUUGGCCAAGGGCAGACCCCUUUCACCUAGGGGAGGGGGUUCGAACCCCAGCGGUUCCCUCAACUCUUAAAACUGGUGGAUACGAAGAGUGCCCGCUGGAUACGAAGAGGGCUGGCGGGAGGCUUAAGUGAGUUACCAUGCGAAAGCCACUUGGCCCCGUGGCUGUGCACAGGAAGUCCUCAGGAAGUGGACGCUGACCACGUAGCUCCGCGCCUGUCGCGGGGGAGCCAGUCCCAAACGUCAACUCAAGCGCGCUCACCCCUCCCCAUGCUGAGGGGAUGACAGCGUGAGCUCUGGAAAGCCUUUCCGGAGGCCAGUUCCUGUGCCGCAUCUGUAAGUGCAAAUUCCAUUUCCUUCGGCCCAAGCGGCUCAUUUCGAGGAACCAGUCCUCCCGAAGCAAUUAAGGAUGUGCUCACAGACGGGAGUGCGAAGACAGUCACCGCGGUGUCGCCCGUAAAAGCAGAAGGAUGCAAACCGCACUUCCGGCAGCCCGGACGGGAAGCAGGCGGGACGAAGGAUGCGACUAACCCCGCGAGGUGACGCGCGACCCUGGGAACUGAGGGUACGGGUCUGCGUUUGUGGGCGUGAUAGGAGGGCAGAGGGCACGUGUGCUCUCGAGCGGGUUUGUUCCAGAACCGCUCGCGCGGCUCGAUGAGUUUCAGGACGUGGAUAUCGCCCCGUAUGCACCACCACUAUCUGGUUUGAGAAUGCGGGGGCCCGGCGUGUGUCUGGGUGAAAAAUAAAACAAGGUAUAGAACAGCGCGGGGAA
rnacentral:lncRNA from 1 species